ensembl:lncRNA
AAUCAACACCCCCAGGUCCAUUUCCUCUACACAGUCUUCCAGGCACUCUGCCCCAAGCCUGUAGCGUUGCCUGGGGUUAUUGUGGCCAAAGUGCAGGACCUGGCAUUUGGUCUUGUUGAAUUCCAUUCCAUUGGCUUCAGCCCAGCUAUCCAGUCUAUCCAGAUCCCUCUGUAGGGCCUUCCUACCCUCAGGCAGAUCAACACUUCCAGCCAGCUGGAUGUCAUCAACCAUGGCAUGGUUGAUGAUGGAAUGGUUGAGAUUGGAAGUCGUCUGACCCCUAGAGCUCUUCUGUUACUUUUGAUACUGUCCAGGUAUCCCCAGCAGAGUUAUCAUUUGUGCCUGCAUGGAAGAAAGUGGAAGUUAGUAGUUAGAGACAGAUGAGCUUUGGCAAUCCCUCAGCAAUAUUCUGGAUCUAGGUCUCAAGGCAGUAAAUUUUUCUAGCUGAUAGAACAGGUCUACAGAUGAGUGCCUCUAUCUCCCACAGCAGAGAGUCACUCAUUACAAUGACUCAGUGUUUCUUCCUUGUGGUUUCAUGCGGUUUAGGUAGACCAGAUCCUUUUCCUGUAAGUGCAUCUGGUUCAUCUUCAGGUUGGGGCAGUAGACCUUUUUUGUCAGUUCCUUAAGUAUCCCUAGGUGAGGCAGGAGCCUUCCUCUUGGUAACAGAAGUCAUCAGCUUCCAUCCUUCCCCUUCUUCAGAGGUUAAGGGCAUCCUGGCAACCAAGACAUCUAGAGCUGCUGCCCUUGUUUUCCAAGGAUAAAACUCUAUGAAGAGAGUAGAGUCCAUCUCCUCAGUAAGACAGAAAUGCAUUUGUCCACCCUCGAAUGCAUGGAUAAGGAACAUAAUAAGCAUUGCAUAACAUUUUACCAAGUGUUAUCUGGAAAUCCAGGAUGGAAACUUGUUGGAAGAUAACAAGAGUGAAUAGGCUGCAGCGUGGAUAUCAGAUGUGGUCCUCCACUGCCUGCAGAGGAAUCCUGACCCAGUGCCUAGAGUACCUCUCUGUCUUUCUUCUCUGACCUUGGUUUCUGCAGAAUUGUUGCAGGAGAAGAAGUUAGAAGAGUCAUGAUGAGAGAGUGAAGUCGAGCCUAGGAAAAAGAGAGCAAGCCAUUAGUGCAUGAAUCUGUCAACUGAAGUCCUUAAUGACACGUAAAUAUUUCCUCUGAAAGUUAUCCUCAUCUGACAUACAGUUCUACAUUAAGUUGUGACAUUUGAAAGAUUUCUUUUUUCAGCUGACUUCAUUAAAAGGAAGAAUUCAGAACUAUUGUUCCUGCAGGAGCAACGAGAGGAACAAUAUGUCAAAAAGUAAGUCCAGCAGACCAUGCAGAAGUUUGGGACCUGGAAAAUGUAGCGUAUGAGAGGCAAAGACAAUCGUGUGGUCUAGGCAGAAGAACAGAAGUCAAAGGCAAAUUUUAUUUGCAGUUUUUCAGUUUUUAAAUGGGAUACACAGCAAAGCCAGAAUGAGAACACUCCUAGAAAUGCACAGAGGAAAGGCAAAAGGCUAUAGUCAGAGCUUCAAGAAUGAGAAAAGAAGUUUCUCCAUAAAAAUGGUUAGACACAGGAGCAGGUUGUACAGACAGACUGCACUAUCCCAGUCCUUAGAGAUAAGUCACAACUCAGAUAGACAAAACCCUCAGCAGCUCAAUUUAACUUAGAAGUUUGUAAUCUCCCUGGGGUCCUUUUCAGGAGGCCAGAAUUGAUGACUUCAGGGUAUGAAGGGAUACCCCCCUUUUUUUUUAAUUUAUUGUUUGUUUGUUUUUGUGAUUCUAUUACCCAAAUGCAUUCUAUACAAACAGUAAUUCCUGUCACUGUCAGUGAACACUCAUACCAUGUAAAUAUACUAUUCUCCUCUAUCAUGCUAUUAGUAUAGCACUGAUGUUGUCAAAGAUGAGGUAAAGAGGAUUUAUCUGCAAGGAUUUAAUUUUCAUUGCUUUUCAUUAAAUUCAGUGUAUUUUCUCAUUCUCUGUAGUUAUGAAAAUGUACCCUGGAAUUACCUGGUAUGAUAACUCAAAAUGCCCUGUUCUAAACAUAUGUCACUAAACACUUCAGUUGUGAUACAGUAUUUCUUGGAAAGGAGACAUAUAAGUUCACCAUUUAAACUGACUAACUUCUCUAUACUACAGUCCUUGUACUUUAUGUUGAUGUGCCAUUUAUGUAAGAGAUAAACAAGUUCUGACUAUUUAGAUCAAUUAAGUCUCCAGUAACUUCCUGUUUGGCUCACAAGUAGAUCCAGAAGCCUAACUUUAGAAGACUUGCCACUUUUGUCUUUAAAUUCAAUCAAGGUCUUUACUGAAAAUAAUGUGCAUAAAAAGCACAGACAUGCAGAACUAGUGAAGUGUCAAAGUCUCUGGAACAAUAAUGUGAUUAAAGUUUUUGCUGAAUUAAGCUAACAUCCUAAUCCUUACACCUUAGCUAAGACUCUAGAUCUGUAAAUCUCAGUUCUAACAGUUUAAAAUGCCAUUUCCACUACUCACACAAGUAAACCAAAGCAGGAAGGAAAGUGAUUCUGCACUUCAUGCAAAAUUCUUAGAUCUUGUUGAUGCUAGCAAUCACUGCAGUGGAACAGUUAAUUAAUGGCAUAUAUUACUAAGUGUAUUCACAGACUGAUGCUAUAAAAAUUAUUUCUGGUUAAAACAGUACAUACUACAAAAUAUUUAUCAUAUUCAGCAAUCUAUUUUAACACCAGUAUUUCAGAUAUUAGGCCCCUAAAACCAUGGUUAUAUUUUGAAGAGCCUGAAAUUAUGCAAACUUAAAUUUACUAAAUAAGAGUAACUAGUUAACCUGGGUUUUUCCACUACAAUUGUCUCAAAUAAGAGAAUUGCCAUAGUUUGUUCUUACUAUAUAAGGACCGCAUAUCUUGUCUUUAUUAAUAAUAGUAAUGAAUAGAGAGAAAAAAAUGAAAAAGAGAAAGAAAGCAAGGAGAGAAAAAGAAAU